ensembl:snRNA U6 U6 spliceosomal RNA
GUGCUCGCUUGAGCAGCACAUAUACAAAAAUUGGAACAAUACAGAAAUUAGCAUGGCCCCUAUGCAAGGAUAUUACACAAAUUCAUGAAGCAUUCCAUAUUUAA